UACGGAGGGUGCAAGCGUUAUCCGGAUCCACUGGGUUUAAAGGGUGCGUAGGCGGGCAUUUAAGUCAGUGGUGAAAUACCUGAGCUUAACUUGGGAACUGCCAUUGAUACUAUUUGUCUUGAAUGUCGUGGAGGUUAGCGGAAUAUGUCAUGUAGCGGUGAAAUGCUUAGAUAUGACAUAGAACACCUAUUGCGAAGGCAGCUAACUACGCGAAUAUUGACGCUGAGGCACGAAAGCGUGGGGAUCAAACAGG
rnacentral:rRNA from 1 species